AGUUUGAUCAUGGCUCAGAUUGAACGCUGGUGGCAGGCUUAACACAUGCAAGUCGAGGGGCAGCGCGAUGUAGCAAUACAUUGGCGGCGACCGGCGCACGGGUGCGUAACACGUAUGGAACUUACCCUUUACUGGGAGAUAGCCCGGAGAAAUCCGGAUUAAUAUCCCAUAAUAAACGAGGUGGCAUCACUUUGUUUUGAAAGCUCCGGCGGUAAAGGAUGGCCAUGCGCACGAUUAGCUAGUAGGUGAGGUAACGGCUCACCUAGGCUACGAUUGUUAGGGGGCCUGAGAGGGUUAUCCCCCACACUGGUACUGAGACACGGACCAGACUCCUACGGGAGGCAGCAGUGAGGAAUAUUGCGCAAUGGAGGCAACUCUGACGCAGCCAUGCCGCGUGCAGGAAGAAGGCGCUACGCGUUGUAAACUGCUUUUAACCGGGAAGAAACCCCAGGACGUGUCCUGGGUUGACGGUACCGGAGGAAUAAGCACCGGCUAACUUCGUG
rnacentral:rRNA from 1 species